AAUUACCAGCCAGCAUCGUCAUUUUUCUAUCUUUUUGAGAAUCAAUAACAGUUGCCUGUAAAUUCUUUUCCAUCGGUGGAGAUGUACAGAAUCCAGUAAAAGUCAAUGUAUUCUUCUGAAAAUGCAUUUCAGUUGAUAAGGUUGACAUCUCUGUACUUCACUUUGGAGCAAUGUAUAAAUCUGCCGAUGUUGGCACAAAUUGGUGAAUCCAACUGUUAAUUUGUAAUCUUCCUGAAGCCCUCUUCCUUUUUAUGUGAAUCAAUUUAACCCCCUAAUCUCCUGUAUGAAUCAUUGGUUUCCUCGUUGUAUCUGGCUCUCUGGUACUUUUUUGAAUAUCAGUGAAGGUUGUAAAUGAUCCAAAUGUCUAACUCUCCUACCUUGAAGUUUUUCUAGACAUAUGUUGAUGACGUGCUUUGCUUAUUAAUAUUAUCAACGACCAGGGUCUAAAG
rnacentral:lncRNA from 1 species